GUGGGGAAUAUUGGACAAUGGGGGGAACCCUGAUCCAGCCAUGCCGCGUGUGUGAAGAAGGCCUUUUGGUUGUAAAGCACUUUAAGCGAGGAGGAGGCUACCGAGAUUAAUACUCUUGGAUAGUGGACGUUACUCGCAGAAUAAGCACCGGCUAACUCUGUGCCAGCAGCCGCGGUAAUACAGAGGGUGCAAGCGUUAAUCGGAUUUACUGGGCGUAAAGCGCGCGUAGGUGGCCAAUUAAGUCAAAUGUGAAAUCCCCGAGCUUAACUUGGGAAUUGCAUUCGAUACUGGUUGGCUAGAGUAUGGGAGAGGAUGGUAGAAUUCCAGGUGUAGCGGUGAAAUGCGUAGAGAUCUGGAGGAAUACCGAUGGCGAAGUCAGUCCCCUGGGCCUGUACUGACGCUCAUGCACGAAAGCGUGGGGAGCAAACAGGAUUAGAUACCCUUGUAGUCC
rnacentral:rRNA from 1 species